UUAACUUAUUUAUAGUUGCUUCAGAAGACUCGUUACAGAAGAGUUUUUGGGUGCUUUCGGCAGGCCAUGGUGGCGCCCCGCCCUGGGGCAGCCUGCCGAGGCAACAAGACAAUUCAAGAACACAAUUGGUUUGGGAGUUUUGCAACUCUGUAAUGAUCCCUCCGCUGGUUCACCAACGGAGA
rnacentral:misc_RNA from 1 species